rnacentral:rRNA from 1 species
CCUACGAGAGGCAGCAGUGAGGAAUAUUGGUCAAUGGACGGAAGUCUGAACCAGCCAUGCCGCGUGCAGGAAGACGGCUCUAUGAGUUGUAAACUGCUUUUGUACAGGGGUAAACCUGAAUACGUGUAUUCAGCUGAAAGUACUGUACGAAUAAGGAUCGGCUAACUCCGUGCCAGCAGCCGCGGUAAUACGGAGGAUCCAAGCGUUAUCCGGAUUUAUUGGGUUUAAAGGGUGCGUAGGCGGAUUGAUAAGUUAGCGGUGAAAUGUCCGAGCUUAACUCGGGAACUGCCUCUAAUACUGUUGAUCUAGAGAGUAUAUGCGGUAGGCGGAAUAUAUGGUGUAGCGGUGAAAUGCUUAGAGAUCAUACAGUACACCGAUUGCGAAGGCAGCUUACUAAUCUAUAUCUGACGUUGAGGCACGAAAGCGUGGGGAGCAAACAGGAUUAGAUACCCUGGUAGUC